rnacentral:rRNA from 1 species
UACGGAGGGUGCAAGCGUUAUCCGGAUUUAUUGGGUUUAAAGGGUACGUAGGCGGUGGAGUAAGUCAGUGGUGAAAGCCAACAGCUCAACUGUUGAACUGCCAUUGAUACUGCUUCACUUGAGUGCAGUUGAGGUGGGUGGAAUUCCGGGUGUAGCGGUGGAAUGCGUAGAGAUCCGGAAGAACACCGGUGGCGAAGGCGGCCUGCUGGGCAGUAGCUGACGCUGAUGCGCGACAGCGUAGGGAGCAAACAGG